AACGAACGCUGGCGACAGGCGUAACACAUGCAAGUCGAACGCCCCGCAAGGGGAGCGGCAGACGGGUGAGUAUCGCGUGGGAAUCUACCCAUCUCUACGGAAUAACGCAUGGAAACGUGUGCUAAUACCGUAUACGUCCUUCGGGCGAAAGAUUUAUCGGAGACGGAUGAGCCCGCGUUGGAUUAGCUAGUUGGUGGGGUAAAGGCCUACCAAGGCGACGAUCCAUAGCUGGUCUGAGAGGAUGAUCAGCCACACUGGCACGGAGACACGGCCCGGACUCCUACGGGAGGCAGGAGUGAGGAAUAUUGGACAAUGGCCGCAAGGCAGAUCCAGCCAUGCCGCGAGGGUGAAGAAGGCACUAGGGUUGUAGAGCUCUAUCACCGGUGAAGAUAAGGACGGUAACCGGAGAAGAAGCCCCGGCUAACUUCGUGCCAGCAGCCGCAGUAACAC
rnacentral:rRNA from 1 species